rnacentral:rRNA from 1 species
UACAGAGGGGGGCAAGCGUUGUUCGGAAUUACUGGGCGUAAAGGGCGCGUAGGCGGCCUUCUAAGUCGAACGUGAAAUCCCCGGGCUCAACCCGGGAACUGCGUCCGAUACUGGAAGGCUUGAAUCCGGGAGAGGGAUGCGGAAUUCCAGGUGUAGCGGUGAAAUGCGUAGAUAUCUGGAGGAACACCGGUGGCGAAGGCGGCAUCCUGGACCGGUAUUGACGCUGAGGCGCGAAAGCCAGGGGAGCAAACGGG